UACGAAGGGGGCUAGCGUUGUUCGGAAUUACUGGGCGUAAAGCGCGCGCAGGCGGUCUUCCAAGUCAGUGGUGAAAGCCUGGAGCUCAACUCCAGAACUGCCAUUGAAACUGUUGGACUUGAGUACGAGAGAGGUGAGUGGAAUUCCCAGUGUAGAGGUGAAAUUCGUAGAUAUUGGGAAGAACACCGAUGGCGAAGGCAGGUCUCUGGGCCACUACUGACGCUGAGAAGCGAAAGCAUGGGGAGCGAACAGG
rnacentral:rRNA from 1 species